AAACAAAGUAUACUAACUGUUAAUUAAAAUUUAACAUAAAUCUUUGGCUGAGUGCAAAAACUUAGAAUAAAAAUAUAAACGAGAAGACCCUGGGAAUUUUAAUAUUUUUAUUGGGAUAAUAUAAAACCAUACUUAGCUAAGCAACAAAUAACAUUAAUAAAAAGAAAUUACCCCAGGGAUAACAGCACAAUAGUCAUUAAGAGACCUAAUCUCAGUGAUUGAUUAUGACCUCGAUGUUGAAUCAUUUGUACAUAUAGUUUGCAGAAGAAUUUUAUUUCUCCGUCUGGUUUCGACCGAUAGACAUUCACGUGAUAGGGUUUUUUUUAAACCCGGGGGUA
rnacentral:rRNA from 1 species